rnacentral:rRNA from 1 species
AAUGAACGCUGGCGGCGCGCCUAAUACAUGCAAGUCGAGCGAGAAGACGUAGCAAUACGUUUGUAAAGCGGCGAACGGGUGAGGAAUACAUGGGUAACCUACCCUCGAGUGGGGAAUAACUAGCCGAAAGGUUAGCUAAUACCGCGUACGCUCCUUGGACUUCGGUUCAGGGAGGAAAGCGAUACCGUGGGUAUCGCGCUCUUGGUUGGGCUCAUGUCCUAUCAGCUUGUUGGUGAGGAACGGCUCACCAAGGCUUCGACGGGUAGCUGGUCUGAGAGGACGAUCAGCCACACUGGCACUGCGACACGGGCCAGACUCCUACGGGAGCAGCAGUAAGGAAUAUUGCGCAAUGGGCGAAAGCCUGACGCAGCGACGCCGCGU